AUGGCUUUUACAGAUAGCAGGCAAUUCAAAAAUGCACUAGUUAAAUAUGGUCUGAAGAAUUUCCAUCAUUUGAUAUUUCCCAAAGAUGAGAAGAAGAGAGUGAGUGCCAAGUGUAGCUGGACUGGUUGCAAGUGGAGCAUAUAUGGGUCAAUAAAUAGCAAAUCCGACUGA
rnacentral:rRNA from 1 species